rnacentral:rRNA from 1 species
AGCCUGCCCAGUGACUUCUGUUCAACGGCCGCGGUAUCCUAACCGUGCAAAGGUAGCGUAAUCACUUGUCUUCUAAAUAGAGACCAGUAUGAAAGGCAUCACGAGGACUAAACUGUCUCCUCUCUCUAAUCAGUGAAACUAAUAACCCCGUGAAGAAGCGGGGGUUUUAUAUAAGACGAGAAGACCCUAUGGAGCUUAAAACAUCAUAACACCUGCCACUAUAAUUUACUUACUCAGGUUUUUACUAUAAUAGCACACUGAAUAUAUGUUUUUGGUUGGGGUGACCGUGGAGAACAAUAUAUCCUCCAUGAUGAAAGGGACUUCCCUAAACAAUAAGCCACAACUUUAUGUAUCAAUAAACUGACAUCCAUUGACCCAAUAUAUUGAUUAACGAACCAAGUUACCCUAGGGAUAACAGCGCAAUCCACUUCGAGAGCCCCUAUCGACAAGUGGGCUUACGACCUCGAUGUUGGAUCGGGGUAUCCUAGUGGUGCAGCCGCUACUAAA